CCGAGUUAUACAACUCAUCAACCCUGUGAACAUACCUAAAACGUUGCUUCGGCGGGAACAGACGGCCCUGUAACAACGGGCCGCCCCCGCCAGAGGACCCCUAACUCUGUUUUUAUAAUGUUUUUCUGAGUAAACAAACAAAUAAAUUA
rnacentral:misc_RNA from 1 species